GCCCGGAUAGCUCAGUCGGUAGAGCAGGGGAUUGAAAAUCCCCGUAUCCUUGGUUCGAUUCCGAGUCCGGGCACCA
rnacentral:tRNA from 3 species